rnacentral:rRNA from 1 species
UAAGGAAUAUUGGUCAAUGGACGCAAGUCUGAACCAGCCAUGCCGCGUGAAGGAUGAAGGUCCUCUGGAUUGUAAACUUCUUUUAUCUGGGACGAAAACGGGAUUUUUAUCUCAAUUGACGGUACCAGAGGAAUAAGCACCGGCUAACUCCGUGCCAGCAGCCACGGUAAUACGGAGGGUGCGAGCGUUAUCCGGAUUUACUGGGUUUAAAGGGUGCGUAGGUGGGCUUAUAAGUCAGUGGUGAAAUCUCCGAGCUUAACUUGGAAACUGCCGUUGAUACUAUAGGUCUUGAAUUAUCUGGAGGUAAGCGGAAUAUGUCAUGUAGCGGUGAAAUGCUUAGAUAUGACAUAGAACACCAAUUGCGAAGGCAGCUUACUACAUAUAAAUUGACGCUGAGGCACGAAAGCGUGGGGAUCAAACA